rnacentral:rRNA from 1 species
AAGAGACAGCAGCAGCCGCGGGAAUACGUAGGGGGCAAGCGUUAUCCGGAAUUAUUGGGCGUAAAGAGUGCGUAGGUGGUCUACUAAGCGCGAGGUGAAAGGCAAUGGCUCAACCAUUGUUAGCCUUGCGAACUGGCAGACUUGAGUGCAAGAGAGGAAAGCGGAAUUCCUAGUGUAGCGGUGAAAUGCGCAGAUAUUAGGAGGAACACCGGCGGCGAAGGCGGCUUUCUGGAUUGUAACUGACACUGAGAGACGAAAGCUAGGGGAGCAAAUGGGAUUAGAUACCCCCGUAGUCCCUGUCUCUUAUACA